rnacentral:rRNA from 1 species
CCCGACUCCGUGAAGCUGGAUUCGCUAGUAAUCGCGCAUCAGCCAUGGCGCGGUGAAUACGUUCCCGGGCCUUGUACACACCGCCCGUCAAGCCAUGGGAGCCGGGGGUGCUUGAAGUGCGUCGCCGCAAGGCGCGCCCUAGAGCAAAAACCGGUGACUGGGGCUAAGUCGUAACAAGGUAAC